rnacentral:rRNA from 1 species
AGACGCAAGUCGAAAUCGGUGAUCCUAUGCUGCCAAGAAAAGCAUCGACGCGAGGUUCUAGCUGCCCGUACCCCAAACCGACUCAGGUGGUCAGGUAGAGAAUACUAAGGAGAUCGAGAGAAUCGUGGUUAAGGAACUCGGCAAAAUGCCCCCGUAACUUCGGGAGAAGGGGGGCCUGAGGCGUGAACGGACUUGCUCCGGGAGCGUUCGAUGGCCGCAGAGACCAGUGGGAAGCGACUGUUUACUAAAAACACAGGUCCGUGCUAAGUCGCAAGACGAUGUAUACGGACUGACGCCUGCCCGGUGCUGGAAGGUUAAGAGGAACGGUUAGCCGCAAGGCGAAGCUGAGAAUUUAAGCCCCAGUAAACGGCGGUGGUAACUAUAACCAUCCUAAGGUAGCGAAAUUCCUUGUCGGGUAAGUUCCGACCUGCACGAAUGGCGUAACGACUUCCCAGCUGUCUCAACCGCGAACUCGGCGAAAUUGCAUUACGAGUAAAGAUGCUCGUUACGCGCAGCAGGACGGAAAGACCCCGUGACCUUUACUAUAGUUUGGUAUUGGUGUUCGGUGUGGCUUGUGUAGGAUAGGUGGGAGACGUUGAAGCGGGCACGCUAGUGUUCGUGGAGUCAUUGUUGAAAUACCACUCUGGUCACUCUGGAUAUCUAACUUCGGACCCUAAUCGGGUUCAGGGACAGUGCCUGAUGGGUAGUUUAACUGGGGCGGUUGCCUCCCAAAGAGUAACGGAGGCGCCCAAAGGUUCCCUCAACCUGGUUGGCAAUCAGGUGGCGAGUGUAAGUGCACAAGGGAGCUUGACUGUGAGACUGACAAGUCGAGCAGGGACGAAAGUCGGGACUAGUGAUCCGGCAGUGGCUUGUGGAAGCGCUGUCGCUCAACGGAUAAAAGGUACCUCGGGGAUAACAGGCUGAUCUUGCCCAAGAGUCCAUAUCGACGGCAUGGUUUGGCACCUCGAUGUCGGCUCGUCGCAUCCUGGGGCUGGAGUAGGUCCCAAGGGUUGGGCUGUUCGCCCAUUAAAGCGGUACGCGAGCUGGGUUUAGAACGUCGUGAGACAGUUCGGUCCCUAUCCGCUGCGCGCG